rnacentral:lncRNA from 1 species
AAAUAGAUUGCGUUUUUACAAUGGAGGCAAAUGUCUUCAAAACAUAAACAAAUGGGAAUCGUUCAGUUAUGGAUGUUAUAUACCAUUGUUAAGAAGAUAUUUCCAAGCGAGAGGAAAUAUCUCCUUAACAACGGUAUCUCCUUGUGCUGGAUGGUCGUUAAGGAGAGACUCUUGGCUCUGCCUUGCGUAAAUCUCUAUGGCUUCCGCUGUAGCAGCAUGUUUCUCUUUCGGAAGCGUUUUUAUUAUCCGUGCUUCCGGCCAUCUUAAUUCGACUGAAUGAUUCCUGUUUGUUUGUUUGUUUUUGUUUUGAAGAUAUUUGUUUUUAUCGUGGAGGCGUGGUCUAUUUGGUUGCACCGGCGGG